rnacentral:rRNA from 1 species
GGGGAAUAUUGGACAAUGGGCGCAAGCCUGAUCCAGCCAUGCCGCGUGAGUGAUGAAGGCCUUAGGGUUGUAAAGCUCUUUCACCCACGACGAUGAUGACGGUAGUGGGAGAAGAAGCCCCGGCUAACUUCGUGCCAGCAGCCGCGGUAAUACGAAGGGGGCUAGCGUUGUUCGGAAUUACUGGGCGUAAAGCGCACGCAGGCGGUUCGGUCAGUCAGAAGUGAAAGCCCCGGGCUUAACCUGGGAACUGCUUUUGAUACUGCCGAGCUUGAAUCACGGAGAGGGUAGUGGAAUUCCGAGUGUAGAGGUGAAAUUCGUAGAUAUUCGGAAGAACACCAGUGGCGAAGGCGACUACCUGGCCGUCGAUUGACGCUCAUGUGCGAAAGCGUGGGGAGCAAAC